GUAGGCGGUUCGUUAAGUCAGAUGUGAAAGCCCUGGGCUCAACCUGGGAACUGCAUUUGAAACUGGCGGACUAGAGUUUAGUAGAGGGGAGUGGAAUUUCAGGUGUAGCGGUGAAAUGCGUAGAUAUCUGAAGGAACACCAGUGGCGAAGGCGACUCCCCGGACUAGAACUGACGCUGAGGUACGAAAGCGUGGGUAGCAAACAGGAUUAGAUACCCUGGUAGUCCACGCCGUAAACGAUGUCGACUAGCCGUUGGUCCUAUUUACAGGAUUAGUGGCGCAGCUAACGCAUUAAGUCGACCGCCUGGGGAGUACGGCCGCAAGGUUAAAACUCAAAUGAAUUGACGGGGGCCCGCACAAGCGGUGGAGCAUGUGGUUUAAUUCGAUGCAACGCGAAGAACCUUACCUACCCUUGACAUCCAGAGAAUCUGUUAGAGAUAGUAGAGUGCCUUCGGGAGCUCUGAGACAGGUGCUGCAUGGCUGUCGUCAGCUCGUGUCGUGAGAUGUUGGGUUAAGUCCCGUAACGAGCGCAACCCUUAUCCUUAGUUGCCAGCGGGUCAUGCCGGGAACUCUAGGGAGACUGCCGGUGAUAAGCCGCGAGGAAGGUGUGGAUGACGUCAAGUCCUCAUGGCCCUUACGGGAUGGGCUACACACGUGCUACAAUGGCGGUGACAGUGGGACGCGAAACCGCGAGGUUGAGCAAAUCCCCAAAAACCGUCUCAGUUCAGAUUGCACUCUGCAACUCGAGUGCAUGAAGGCGGAAUCGCUAGU
rnacentral:rRNA from 1 species